rnacentral:lncRNA from 1 species
CUUAGCUUUAUGCCUCAGAUUGUGUUACAGGAAAUAGCUUUAUGCCUCAGAUUGUGUUACAGGAAAUAGUUUAUGUAAACAUUUGUUAAACAUAGCAUGUUAGUUAGCUUUUUGUUGCGACAACAAAAUACCUGAGAAAAUCAACUUAGAGGAGGAACAAUUUAUUUUGGCUCAUGGUUUCACAAGUUUCAGUUCAUAGUCUCUUGGGCCCAUUGCUAUGGAUUUGUGGUGAAGCACAAUAUCAUGCAUGGCAGGGAGCACCUGGCAGAACAGAGCUGUUCAUCUCGUGGUGGCCAGGAAUGAGAGAGAGAGGGAAAGUGACCUGGAACUAGAUAUAUGCUUCAAGGCGACACCCACAGUGACUGACUUCUCUAAGGAGGCCCCACUUCCUACAGUUUCUACCACCUCCCUAUAGUCCAUUCAAUUACAACCCUGUCGGGAUCGAUCCCUUGAUGAGAUUAGUGUCCUCGUGACACAAUCAUUUACCAAAAGCCUCACCUCUGCACAUUGCUCUACGGUGGACCAAUACUUCAACACUGAUUCUUUGGGGGGAACAUUGUAGAUUUGAAUCAUAAUGAAUGGUAAAGCAGACUUUAUUCAAGGAGGACUACCUGAAUAGAUAUAGGGACCACUGCAACAGAGUCUUGAAGUGGGAAGAGAGAUGGGAUAAACUCCAGCACUAACAAUGACAAGCAGAGAUUCAUU